AAAAAGAUAAAUCCUAGAUUUCCAUGUCCAACUUUGACUGUCCGUCUUAUAUGAAUAUUUUUUAUAAUUUGUAUUUUCAUUGUUGUUAGAUGAUAAAACAUGAUUAAUAUUUUAUGCGUGACUUGUCUUUUUAAUUUUUUUUAUAAUUUUUUCAAAUAAGACGGAUGGUCAAACGUUGGACACGGAAACCAGAGUUUGUCUUUUUU
rfam:Oryza nivara chromosome 1, whole genome shotgun sequence.